UCUAAAAUCCGCGUUGUAGUUGCCGGAGUGAGCGAACCUUCCGAAGGGAGUCACCCGCAGCACCCAAUAUUUCGCUCACUCCGGCAACUACAACGCGGAUUUUAGA
rnacentral:pre_miRNA from 1 species